rnacentral:rRNA from 1 species
UACGAAGGGGGCUAGCGUUGCUCGGAAUCACUGGGCGUAAAGCGCACGUAGGCGGCUUUCUAAGUCAGGGGUGAAAUCCUGGAGCUCAACUCCAGAACUGCCUUUGAUACUGGGAAGCUCGAGUCCGGAAGAGGUGAGUGGAACUCCGAGUGUAGAGGUGAAAUUCGUAGAUAUUCGGAAGAACACCGGUGGCGAAGGCGGCUCACUGGUCCGGUACUGACGCUGAGGUGCGAAAGCGUGGGUAGCAAACAGG